rnacentral:lncRNA from 1 species
GCAACGGGUUAGGCAACGGGUUAGGCAACGGGUUAGGCAACGGGUUAGGCAACGGGUUAGGCAACGGGUUAGGCAACGGGUUAGGCAACGGGUUAGGCAACGGGUUAGGCAACGGGUUAGGGUUAGGCAACGGGUUAGGGUUAGGGUUAGGGUUAGGCAACGGGUUAGGGUUAGGGUUAGGCAACGGGUUAGGGUUAGGGUUAGGCAACGGGUUAGGGUUAGGCAACGGGUUAGGGUUAGGCAACGGGUUAGGGUUAGGCAACGGGUUAGGGUUAGGGUUAGGGUUAGGCAACGGGUUAGGCAACGGGUUAGGGUUAGGGUUAGGGUUAGGGUUAGGGUUAGGGUUAGGGUUAGGGUUAGGGUUAGGGUUAGGGUUAGGGUUAGGGUUAGGGUUAGGGUUAGGGUUAGGGUUAGGGUUAGGGUUAGGGUUAGGGUUAGGGUUAGGGUUAGGGUUAGGGUUAGGGUUAGGGUUAGGGUUAGGGUUAGGGUUAGGGUUAGGGUUAGGGUAAGGGUUAGGGUUAGGGUUAGGGUUAGGGUUAGGGUUAGGGUUAGGGUUAGGGUUAGGGUUAGGGGUAGGGUUAGGGUAGGGUUAGGGUUAGGGUUAGGGUUAGGGUUAGGGUUAGGGUUAGGGUUAGGGUAAGGGUUAGGGUAAGGGUUAGGGUUAGGGUUAGGGUUAGGGUUAGGGUUAGGGUUAGGGUUAGGGUUAGGGUUAGGGUUAGGGUUAGGGUUAGGGUUAGGGUUAGGGUUAGG